UACCAGCACCCCGAGUGGUCGGGACGAUUAUUGGGCCUAAAGCAUCCGUAGCCGGUUCUACAAGUCUUCCGUUAAAUCCACCUGCUUAACAGAUGGGCUGCGGAGGAUACUAUGGAGCUGGGAGGCGGGAGAGGCAAGCGGUACUUAGUGGGUAGGGGUAAAAUCCGUUGAUCCAUUGAAGACCACCAGUGGCGAAGGCGGCUUGCCAGAACGCACUCGACGGUGAGGGAUGAAAGCUGGGGGAGCAAACCGGG
rnacentral:rRNA from 1 species